CUAUAACAGCGCCAGACAACACUUCCAUAGGAAUGGCGCCAAUUUUGAAUCACCUUGUAUAACUACAAGUUUGAUACGUUUCUGUAAGGUUUCAUGUUUAGCGGGUAUGUUGACAACUCUGGCGCUGGGUUUCUUCAUCAUCAUGGUUUCUGUCCGAAAAGUGGCAGUUUGUAAUUAAUUCGAAUAAAAAAGACGUUAUUCAGUUUGCAUAGAUUUAGAUCGCAUUUAAUUAACUAAUUGUGUUCAGAACGCCAUUGUAAAAAUAAGCUUUUAAGUGCCUACAUAGAUAUUGCACAUGAAGUGCAUGAACAUAUUUUUUACUUGUACUUUUUGGAAGUACAUUUUAGUCUGUACUUGUGUGAAAUGAAGUCAAAUGAUAAGUAGUGCCAAGGUAAGCUAUUAUGGAGGAGGUAUUUGUAAAGAACAGGCUCUUUCAACAUGGUCAAGUCUAAGAAGCCACGCAAAGAAAUUUCAUCCAGGAAACGUGGAUGAGUUAGCUCCGAAAAAGACUUAUAAUAUCUCUGUUAUCUGCGAUAAAUGCAAUAAAUCGUUCUCAGAUCAUUCCAGUUUGAGACAGAGUAUGUGAGAAAAUUUCACCCAGAUAAUUAUUAAGUUUAGAUAGCUGUCAAUGUAUGAAUGGAAUGUAUAUGUACAUGAGUAAUUCGAAAUAAUAAUUUUAAUUAGUUUAUACUCGUAUUGAAGUGUAAGAAGUUACUUAAAUUAGAUGAAAUGGAAGUUUUGUCGAAAUAUAAAUGUUUUUCUUACAAAUGCCCAGAAUGUCCAAAGCAAUUUUCCGGAGUGGCUAAUUUUAAUGCCCAUAAAAGGAUACUUCAGACGGCGAUAGUUUAUCCCUGUAGUCCCAACCAAUUAAAGUGUCCUUUGUGCAAAUAUACGAAGAUAAGUUUUAGUAAGUAAGAAAAGCAUGAAAUAGCUCCACUCGAAGCAUCACUGAAUGCCAUUAAAGUGGUUGGCAGUAGAUUUGUAUACGCCAGACAAUAAAAAGGUAGAUAAGCAAAGACGAAUCUUUUCAGCAAAAAAAAAUCGUAAAUGGAGAUCUCGGUUGAAGAAACCUAUUAGUAUGACUCAAAUGCAAAUUA